AGAAAAUAUUACACGCUAAAGCCCACACACUAAAAAAAUCUAACUCUAAAUUGAGUUUUUUUUCACACACACGCUAAGAAAAUCUAACUGUAAUCUUCGAGCCAGGGGGACAACACAAAAAUAUGUCAUGAGUAAAAUUUACACAGCGAACACGCUAAGAAAAUGUUACAUACCGGUUACAUACUCACAUUUUGCGUAAAUUAGCUUUUAGCGCUUGUUUAGAAAACGUUUCGAAACGAAUGAAAUGCACGCUAAGAAAAUGUUACAUACCGGCUGUGUUAAAUUCACUCAUCGAAUCGUUCCGUGCACAAGAACGCUUCGGUGAGUAAAAAUUUUGCUCAUAAUAUAGUAACUGCUUCCAUACUCACAUUUUGUGUAAAUGAGCUUUUAGCGUUUGUUCCGAAAACGUUUCGAAAUGGAGACAGAUUGUUUUUAAACGCAGGGGGUAUGACACUUCCUUUGCUAACCGGAAAAAUCCGCAUUUAUCCGUUGCUAACCGUCGUUAACCGCGUCUAAUUGCUGCUCAGCUUAGCAGCGGUUACCGACGGUUAGGAACGGAUAAAUGCGGAUUUUCCGGUUAGAAAAGGAUAUGUCAUUCCCCUUGUUUAAACGUCAAGUUUCGAAACAAAUUCCACAUCGGAAGCUUGUUUUUGCUCGUAAAUUUUUUUAUAAUGUGUUCCGCAGCUUCUUAUUCCGGUCGAGAUUCCGGUGCACCACAACAAAACUGUCCCAGAAUGGACGAGCACUCGAUGGACAAAGCAGCCUUGAAGGAAAAUCCUCAUCCGAUAAAAGUCAACGGUUUCAUCUCCAAGAGGUCUCCAGCCGGCCGUGGAAUGAAUCAUCCCGCUGCUCGUCAGAAGUGGCUCAAUUUCGUUCCAGAAAAUGGGAAUUCAUAUUUCAAAAGAGUAAUAUAAAAACUUUUAAAGUAAUUCCAGAUUUUACUUCCGGCGCGGUUGAAAAUCUGAAUUUUUGACACGUAAGAGUCGUAUUUUACGUCGUAUAUGGAAGCAGUUACUCACAUUAUGAGCAAAAUUUUUACUCACCGAAGCGUUCGAAGUGCACGAAACGGUUCGAUGAGUGAAUUUAACACAGCCGGUAUGUAACACGCUAAGGCGUGCAUUUCAUUCGUUUCGAAACGUUUUCUAAACAAGCGCUGUUGAAAAUCUGAAUUUUAGCACGCGAUUGUCGAUUUUUCUUCGCACGUCGAACCUAACGUUGCUCAUUCCGCUUGACGUACGACGUAAAAUACGACUCUUACGUGCCAAAAUUCAGAUUUUCAACCGCGCUGGAAGUAAAAUCUGGAAUUUACUCAUUUAUAUUAUGUUUUUAUUCGUUUUGAUGCAUUACUUUGUAUUUUUGUAUGAACCGUAUGCCAUAUUUUUGUUUUACCAUAUGUCACGCCAGUAAAUUGAACAGCUACAGCAGUUCCAGGAAGAUUUACUGAAUCCCGGACAUCCAUCAGACGUGUUCACAUGACAGAAUACUCUACUUUGCCUUUGACAAGAAUUGUUCCAAAUAUCACUUUCCGUCUGCAGAUGCAACCGCAUCCGCUUCAGCUGUGCAGU